AUUGAACGCUGGCGGCAGGCUUAACACAUGCAAGUCGAGCGGGGGAAAGUACUUCGGUACUGACCUUAGCGGCGGACGGGUGAGUAAUACUUAGGAAUCUGCCUAUUAGUGGGGGCCAACAUCUCGAAAGGGAUGCUAAUACCGCAUACGUCCUACGGGAGAAAGCAGGGGAUCUUUAUGACCUUGCGCUAAUAGAUGCGCCUAAGUCGGAUUAGCUAGUUGGUGGGGUAAAGGACUACAAAGUCGACGAUCUGUAGCGGGUCUGAGAGGAUGAUCCGCCACACUGGGACUGAGACACGGCCCAGACUCCUACGGGAGGCAGCAGUGGGGAAUAUUGGACAAUGGGGGGAACCCUGAUCCAGCCAUGCCGCGUGUGUGAAGAAGGCCUUAUGGUUGUAAAGCACUUUAAGCGAGGAGGAGGCUCUUUUGGUUAAUACCCAAGAUGAGUGGACGUUACUCGCAGAAUAAGCACCGGCUAACUCUGUGCCAGCCGCCGCCGUAA
rnacentral:rRNA from 1 species